AGGGUGUGACAGUGUAAACCCAUCUGCAGACCCUGCGAAAGGACUUGAAACAGAUGCCUUGUCCGGACCCUGUUUGUCAGUGGCCUGCCUCUGGACAUCAAGCCCCGAGAGCUGUACCUGCUCUUCAGGCCAUUCAAGGGCUAUGAAGGUUCUCUCAUAAAGCUCACAUCUAAACAGCCCGUAGGCUUUGUCAGUUUCGACAGUCGCUCAGAAGCAGAGGCCGCAAAGAAUGCUUUGAACGGCAUCCGCUUCGAUCCUGAAAUCCCGCAAACACUACGACUAGAGUUUGCUAAGGCAAACACGAAGAUGGCCAAGAACAAACUCGUAGGGACUCCAAACCCCAGUACUCCUCUGCCCAACACUGUACCUCAGUUCAUUGCCAGGGAGCCAUAUGCGCUGGCUCCCUCCCUCCGAGGCUACUUCCCAGGGCUGGAAGUCCCGGCAGUUCUGCUGAGGCUGUGCUUGAAAACACCUUGCCCAGUUUUGAUCCCUUCAAGACUUCAUAACAGCCUCUAUCACACAUCUGUUUUCCUCAAAGAAAAAAAAAUAUAUAAUAAAAUGUGUUUUACUCUUUUACACUGUAUAAUUUUAAGAAAUGUGUUAUUUGUGAAUGCAUGGUCUGACAUUUCUGUACAGUUUGGAGACAUGAGCAGUAAAGCCAGGAUGGUUAGUAUUUUUAUAACAGACAUUUUAAGAGUGGACAGAUGGAUUCUUUACACUAGGCUACAUCACGACUUUUGUUUGAUUUUUGAAUGCUUUUAAUGGUGUUUAUCUUAUUUUUCUUCUGAAAUAAGAUGCAUGUUUGAAACAUAUCUCUAAAUAGCAUCCAAGUUUCCACAAUUGUGUUGUGAAUGUGUGGACUCCCUCUGCCUGGCCCAGAGUCAGCCCCAUUAGUAGCUGGGUGUAGAAAUGCGCUUCUGCAGUAUUAGCUCUGUAAUCCUGGCUCCCAGGGAUCUCCCUGCAAGACAAUCAGUGCCCCAAAGCAUCUGCCAUUGUAGUGUAUAAACCACUGGGCAAAGACUACUUAGGUAAUGUCUCUGAAAACCAUGGCCACUCUGGCUGUGACUAUACAAACUGUGCCCGGGGACAUAUUGACAUUCUAUGCUUGUGUCGUUUAGGAUAGCACCCUCAGAGUGUGCAACUUAAUAUAUAUCACCCAACUUCCAGAAACUGUUCCGCAGUGGAACGAACUGCAAGGUCCACCUUCCAUUUAUGUGGUUGGCCUUUAGUUUGGAGGCAAACAUGCCUCAGGCUUUGCCCACUCAGCCUGCGCUGGGCAUCACAUCUCUCAAGUGGGUCAGCAAAGCGUUGGCCUGCCUGAGUAGCUAGCUGUUCUGGUCUGGCAGCCAUGUCAGUCAGACCAUCCAUCACAUUCUCUGGAACGCUACAUGCUCAUCUUGAGACUACCUACUACAUUGCAGUGUGGGGCAUGAAACUUGGCCAUGUGCGAUGAACACUGUUACCCUUGCUUCAAGACCUCUUCAAAGCCCAAAGUUAGUCUUGUGUUGUGUGCCAACACAUUCCCAGAGGCUGUGAUGGCAGUCUUCCCGCUCCUCAAACGAGCCAUGCAUACUACGUUGACCUCAGAAUUUCCAGCUGCUGAUACUACUAGACAUAAUCACAAUCUUUGUAUCUUUGUUAUUGAUCUGCUUGUAUUGUGUUGAAAACGUCAUAUUUUAAUGAAUAUUUCGGUGGUUUGGGAGGGUUAUUUCAUUAUUUUUCAAGAGAAGUAAAAAAUGUCAAGUUUUUAAAGGUUAUUAAAAAGAGAAACACCAAGGCCUGUAAUAAGGGCCUUUUCUCUGUAAACUAGAGGCCGGGGCAGGCAGCACUGGGGAAUUAGCAUCCAGGUGGUGUUCCGUGCCACUUGACUGUAAGACUCCUCUACUUGCUUUAAAGAGAGUGAGCCACUUAUCAUCGAUUAUGCUUUUAUAAUUGUGUAAAGGUACUUUUGUAUUGUCAUUUUUUUAAAAGAUAAUAAAAGUUUAUUCCAGCCAUUACA
rnacentral:lncRNA from 1 species